CUGGCUACUAUGGAGUGUGCCAUGGCAAUCAUGACCUGUGAUGCAUUAGCAGACUAUCACCUACUUAAUGUAUUGAGAAAGCCACUUGAAGCCAUCGCCAUACCCCAUUUUCCGGACGAUGCUGCACAUGAACACCUCCAACGGGCGGACGUUUGUGUCUGCUAGGUUAACCUUUCCCUUUCCAGUGGUGAAGUUGGUUAGGCCAAGGUGGUAUCGUAAUUCAUCCUCUGAGGCGGCGUAGGGUAUGUCAAUCUUGUUCCCCAACACGAGAAACGGGACGUUUGCAAGUGAUUCAUCUGAAAGGAGGGCGUCAAGUUCU
rnacentral:misc_RNA from 1 species